rnacentral:rRNA from 1 species
UGAUCACUCGUUGUUGGGUAGCAAUACUCAGUGGCCAAGCGAAAGCGAUAAGUGAUCCACCUGGGGAGUACGAUCGCAAGGUUGAAACUCAAAGGAAUUGACGGGGGCCCGCACAAGCGGAGGAGCAUGUGGUUUAAUUCGAUGAUACGCGAGGAACCUUACCCGGGCUUGAAUUGCAGUGGAAUGAUUUGGAAACAUCUCAGUCUUCGGACCACUGUGAAGGUGCUGCAUGGUUGUCGUCAGCUCGUGCCGUGAGGUGUUAGGUUAAGUCCUGCAACGAGCGCAACCCUUACACUUAGUUGCCAGCACGUAGCGGUGGGAACUCUAUGUGAACUGCCUACGCAAGUAGAGAGGAAGGUGGGGAUGACGUCAAAUCAGCACGGCCCUUAUGUUCGGGGCUACACACGUGCUACAAUGGUCGAAACAGAGGGUCGCUACUACGCAAGUAGAUGCAAAUCUCAAAAAUCGAUCUCAGUUCGGAUCGGAGUCUGUAACUCGACUCCGUGAAGUUGGAUUCGCUAGUAAUCGCACAUCAGCCAUGGUGCGGUGAAUACGUUCCCGGGCCUUGUACACACCGCCCGUCAAGCCAUGGAAGUUGGGGGUACCUAAAGAAUGUAACCGAAAGGAGCGUUCUAGGGUAAACUUGAUAACUGGGGCUAAGUCGUAACAAGGUAACCGUA